CCCUUAGAUGUCCGGGGCCGCACGCGCGCUACAAUGGAUGAAUCAACGCGUCAUCCUGGCCCGAAAGGGUUGGGGAACCGCUGAACCUCAUCCGUGGUUGGGAUUGGGGUUUGUAAUUAUUCCCCAUGAACUAGGAAUUCCCAGUAAGCGCGAGUCAUAAGCUCGCGUUGAUUGCGUCCCUGCCCUUUGUACACACCGCCCGUCGCUACUACCGAUUGGAUGGUUUAGUGAGAUCCUCGGAUUGGUCACGGCACGGUGGCAACACUGCGUCGGUGUGCCGAGAAGACGAUCAAACUUGAUCAUCUAGAGGAAGUAAAAGUCGUAACA
rnacentral:rRNA from 1 species